rnacentral:rRNA from 1 species
GAUGAACGCUGGCGGCGUGCCUAAUACAUGCAAGUCGAGCGAACGGACGAGAAGCCUGCUUCUCUGAUGUUAGCGGCGGACGGGUGAGUAACACGUGGAUAACCUACCUAUAAGACUGGGAUAAUUUCGGGAAACCGGAGCUAAUACCGGAUAAUAUUUUGAACCGCAUGGUGCAAAAGUGAAAGACGGUCUUGCUGUCACUUAUAGAUGGAUCCGCGCUGCAUUAGCUAGUUGGUAAGGUAACGGCCUACCAAGGCAACGAGGCAUAGCCGACCUGAGAGGGUGAUCGGCCAGCCUGGAACGGAGACACGGCCCAGGAGCCUAGAGGAGGCAGCAGUAGGGAAUCUUCCGCAAUGGGCGAGAGCCUGACGGAGCAGCGCCGCGUGAGUGAUGAAGAUCUUCGGAUCGUAAAACUCUGUUAUUAGGGAGGAACAUAUGUGUAAGUAACUGUGCACAUCUUGACGGUACCUAAUCAGAAAGCCACGGCUAACUACGUG